AAAAAGUGGGUAUGAUCUUGGCCCCGCUCGAGCGCGUGCAGAAUGUUUAACACAUGCAAGUCUUCUUUUUUUUUGCUUUUUCAUAAGAGCAAAAAAGAAGAGGCAUACGGGUGCGUAGAAACCGAAAAUUUAUAAAUUUAAAAGUUUUAAAGACUUUAUAUAAAAAUAGAAUAGUCUAUAAAGUUCGGUUUGGAUUAGGUUGUUGGGUCUAUUGUUUGCUAAAAACUUUUGGUUUUUUGCUAUGCAAAAAACACUUGUGGCUUGCCACAAGGGCGAAAAAAAAUGAGUCUAAAAUUUUUAGAUGUGGUAAAGGCACCCCAAGCCAAGGAUCCAUAGCCUUCCUGAACGGGAGAAAGGCCACAGUGGGACUGAAACAAGGCCCAUCCGCAUUUGCGGCAGCAGUGAAGAAUCUUUGACAAUGGGCGAAAGCCUGAUCAUGCAUUUCUGCGUAAGAUAUGGAAGAAAAGAUUCCAUCGUUCUAAGGGAAGGCAAAUUGUCGGAACCCUUGUUUAUUUUUGGCAAAGAAAAAAAAACUUUGGUCCUUUUUAAAAAAGGAUUUAUAAAAAAUGUUUUUUAAUCUAUAGAAACCAAAACUUUAGAUUAAAAAACGUUUUUGAAAAACUAAAAAUAAAAUCCCUGGCAAACUCUGUGCCAGCCGCCGCGGUAAUACAGAGAGGGAGAGUGUUGAGCGAAUGGACUAGGCAUAAAAAGCAGGUAGGUUGUUUGUUAAGUUCUAAGAUUAUUUUUUUGAAAGUUCAAAAAAGAUCUAAGAAAAUAACUUUCUUGAAUAUUUCUAUGGGUAAGGGAAUGGCCCUAGGACUGGUAGAAUAGUAGCAUAAGGGUUGGAACGUCCAAAGCGAAGGCACUUACCUGGGAAAUAAUUGACACUGAGCUGCGGAAGUGUGGAGACCAAAUGAGAUUAGAGACCUCAGUAGCCCACACCGUCAACGAUGAGUGCUUUACAGAUAUUUUUCUGUGAACGCCAAAUGUAGAAGCACUCUGCCUGGGGAGUACCGUCGCAAGGCAGAAACUCAAAAGAAUUGACUGCUAGAGAGAACAAUGGUGGAACAUUGGGGUUUAAUAGAAAACAACGUCUAAAACCUUACCAAUAUUUGAAUGUAGAUU
rnacentral:rRNA from 1 species